CUGUUGUAGACGUGUUCUUGUUUAUGCUCGCCAUGCUUCCCAGUAUU
rnacentral:ribozyme from 1 species